GAAACUAUUCUGAAAUCACAAUUGAUGACAUAGAGAUAAACAUUUAACAAUAUAAUCCACAAGAAUAAUCCAAAGAUGAUCAAAGAACGGUUUUUGUUAAUCAAAUACUCAAAAAAUUCACUAAAUAAAGGUAAAUGUUAAAUCUGACAACUUGUGAGCUCGACUGUGUUGCCAUUGGCAACUCGGACCAUAUGAUCGAAACAUGUGACUUUUCCCGGGUUUUACAGCUUUUUAGUGGGAAAACAAAUGAGAGAUUGACUCAUGCAAAGUAACUUUCUAAACCCACUUUUUAGAAUUUGUUUUUUUUCUAAUUUAAUUUAGUUUCUGAUUUAUGUUUUUAUAUUUUGUAAAAUUGGGUCAAUCUUGACUUGCUUCUUUCCAUCAAAAUGUCAUAUAUUUCGAUUUAAGGCUGAAUUAAUGGAAUCAAAACUUGGACCAAGUUUAUAAAUGUCUUCUUUUAUCCCUCAUUGUGCUUUAUUCUCAUCUGACAAUUUGCUGUACGAAUCUAUUCCAUCAAAGAAAAUAGAGUGAACAUGAAAUACCAGUAAAAGGAUGGUGGUGUUAGAUUUGGUGGGGAUUGAAGAGUAGAAGAAUGUAAAAGGUCAAAGAAACCCGAAAACCGGUUUUAAAGCUUUUUUGGAGAGUGUAACCCAUAAUAUAUCAACAUCGCCCAUGAAAAAGGCCGCCAUCUUUUUUCACUGUUUCCAGAUUUUCUACCAACACAUUUAACAGGAAACAUCAAAUUUCAUGUCACCUUCCUUAUCCAAAGUUAAAUCUCUAACCAUCAACUGAAUUUGUUGGAAUCAUCUUUCAUCAAACUUUGACAAGAUAUGAAAUGUUUGAUGAGAUUAAAUGUUAUCAACGGGAAAAUGCAAAGACACGAAAUAAGAUGUGGAUGGAUUUGGAGAAUCAUGGAAAGAUACUGAUAUCUAUCUUAUUAAGCUUGGAGAAAUAAUCAAGAAUAAAAAAUAGAAAGAGUGGAAUGGGAUAAUGAUGAAGAAAAGAACUGGAACUGGAAUUGAGAUAAAUGAAGAAAAUAUAAUGGCAAUGAUAAUAAAAAAAGCUGUUUUAAUGAUCUGGCCAAAAAAGUUAGCGAGGCCCGAAAUAGCUAUUACCUGUUAAAUUUUUCGUGUUACUGUUAAACCAUAUCAAAAAAACUUCUUCAGGAUGAAACCAAAGAAGCUGUCUGAUAGUUGUAAAGAAAAAAGGAGAAAAUUUUGCUAAAUUCAAGUUUCAACUUCAAAUAUCUUCUCUUAAUAUCUCAUCUGUUAACAAAGUGGUUAUGAGAUUUUAACUUCUCUUGACGAGUCGUUGACAAACAAGAUAUCAUAUAGUAAAGGAAAUGUUUCAAAACACGGAUCUCUUCGAUAUUCUUGUAAACAAUAUUCAAUAUUGCAAAGCUGUAUUGUUCUGGUUCACCAGUACGGAAACUAGCCCGGAGGUGAUUCUUAUAUGGUGCUCUUAUCUCUGGAUCGAAUGAAUCUUCUAACAGCAAAGAGCAAUUCUAAGCAGUACGAAUUUAACUACGGAUAAUAUUAAAGUCUAUUGAAGUCUCUGAAAUGGCAACUCAUAUUUUACAACUUACCUUUGUUUAUUGAGUGACGAUAAAUUGUGCAGCGAUCUCAUAUUUUGAAGCUCUUGGGAUAUUCGAUUUGGUUGGUGAAGUAAACCUCUAACUGAAUCAUGAUUAACCAUUGAAGAACCAUUAUCACCCAUUAAGGCAUUUGAAACCGAUAUUCCAAUUCCAUCGGCUCCUUCUAAAGUUACUCGGGAUUUUUUCAUCUGAGUCUCGUAACCCAAGUUGAACAGUGAAUUAACCGAU